UGUAGUUUAGACAAAAAAUGAUUCAGUUGAUCAGGAGCGUCAGGGCUGAAUUGCCGGUAGAUCUUGCAUCCGUUCACAGCUGUGCGUGCAGUGAGUGGCAUCAUCACACACACAGGCACACUCCACCGGCGGUCCUCCCAGUGCGUCAAGGAAGCAGUGCAGAUGAAACAUGUUGUUGUGGAGAAUAUAAUGGAGAACUAGUUAACAGAACUAAAUGCCAUCUAUGCCAGUUUUAAAAGAUACUUAUAUAGUGCACUUACCCUUAACAGGUUUGGACAUCACGGAGACCAGCAAGGACUGGUUAAUACAGUCAAAACAAUAUUGUUUUUCUCUUACGAACUUCUGGCAACAUGGAAGAAGUGGUUCAUGAAGAUUUCCAAUGUGUGUUUUUUAAUGCCUCUGAUACCCCUACCUGUGGUUAGUGACAUUUCAUCUACUUCUUCAAGAUGUUCAUUUGUUUUUUCAGUCCUCUAAGUAUUAAGAUAAUUUAUAGUUCUAGUGCAUAUAUAGAAAAAUUACGGAGUAGCUACACUACUGCAACAUCAUGAGCCAUCAAAAGAAGUAAAGAACCAUUGGUUUGAUGUGAUUUAGUGCCAUUCUAGUUCAGUCGUUGAUUUAUUUCUACUUUCUUUGCAUUAUUACAGCUCCCUACGAUAUAGGAAUGGUUUUGCGUUUCUUUGACAGAUCUCACAUGAGGAAUAAAAGUCAGAUUACUUUGUAGCCAAUCAAUAUCAUCUUCCUGAAGUAAAACUGGCUCGCUGCAUCGCGUGGUGUUUGAGGUUGAGGUUCAACUUAUAAAGGCCAAACCUGAGCGUCCUCGAGUCCCAGGCGAGGGUGCCGUCGUGGCGGUCGUCUGCGUGGAGGUGAGAGGAAUGCAUAGGAUUCCCCGGCGUUGAGGCGACAGAGCGUCGGCAAGGGCGACAAGGAGUGCUGUGGCGGCAGGGGACGCGACGGCGGCAACGACAGCGAGAAGGAUUCCUGUGGCGGCAGUGGAGGCGUCGGUGGCGAGAAGUACUGCUGCGGUGGCAGUGUAGAUGACGGCGGCGAGAAGUACUGCUGCGGCGGCAGUGGAGGCGAUGGCAAGAAAGUCUGCUGCGGCGUGCAUGAGAGGUGUCGUGCAGGUGAGGGACGGCAUGAGGAGUGGUGUGUGGUCGUGCUGAGGAACGGUUGUUUGGAAGGAGAGAAAAAACUGUUUGCUAGCGUGGUUGGAUGGUGGAUGUUGUCUGCCAAUGUAAAUCACCGGAGAGAUGUGAGGCGUUUGAUUUUGUGAUUGUACGGCUGAGAUGCCUUGGAUGGGACUCUCCGUGUCUUUUAUUAGUAGUGGUGAU